rnacentral:rRNA from 1 species
GAUGAACGCUAGCGGCAGGCUUAACACAUGCAAGUCGAGGGGUAACAUAGAAAAGCUUGCUUUUCUGAUGACGACCGGCGCACGGGUGCGUAACGCGUAUACAACCUACCUUUUAGCGGGGAAUAGCCCAGGGAAACUUGGAUUAAUGCCCCAUAGUAUAUAGACUUCUCCUGAAGUUUAUAUUAAACAUUUAUGGCUAUUAGAUGGGUAUGCGUCCUAUUAGUUAGUUGGUAAGGUAACGGCUUACCAAGGCAGCGAUAGGUAGGGGUCCUGAGAGGAGAUCCCCACACUGGUACUGAGACACGGACCAGACUCCUACGGGAGGCAGCAGUGAGGAAUAUUGGACAAUGGGCGAGAGCCUGAUCCAGCCAUGCCGCGUGCAGGAAGACUGCCCUAUGGGUUGUAAACUGCUUUUACAGAGGAAGAACCACCCCCACGUGUGGGGGUUUGACGGUACUCUGCGAAUAAGGAUCGGCUAACUCCGUG